ACAGCAGCAGCCGCGGUAAUACGAAGGGUGCAAGCGUUAAUCGGAAUUACUGGGCGUAAAGCGUGCGUAGGCGGUUUGUUAAGUCUGUUGUGAAAUCCCCGGGCUCAACCUGGGAAUGGCAAUGGAUACUGGCAAGCUAGAGUGUGUCAGAGGAUGGUGGAAUUCCCGGUGUAGCGGUGGAAUGCGUAGAUAUAGGAAGGAACACCAGUGGCGAAGGCGACCACCUGGACUAAGACUGACACUGAGGCGCGAGAGCGUGGGGAGCAAACAGGAUUAGAUACCCCCGUAGUCCCUGUCUCUUAUAC
rnacentral:rRNA from 1 species